rnacentral:snoRNA from 1 species
GUAGUCUAUGAUGAUGCCUUUACCACCUUUAAUCUGAGUGUCAUGGCCAUGUGACAACUUUACAUGCACUACCAUCUUAGACCAG